CUUCUGCCAAAAAGCGUGCCUGGCAAUGUGAUUCUUUAAUCAAGCAGACUCUUCCAAAAUGGAUGGUUACGAGAAACGGCUCCCCUCUCGUAAACAGCAAUUGGGGGAGAACGGGGAGGUGAGGUGGGAGCGACUGGAUCGUGAGUCUGGCUGCUUCUCGGAAUUGCCUCCUUAGCUGCUGCAGAGAGAGAGCGCCUGCUCGGAAUCUAAGUUGACUGCUCUGGACUGUCUGGUCUGUUUAUGAACCUGUUAUUUCCUGAAUGGAGAACCAAUGGUAGUAAAAGUUUAUGGCUGGUCCCUCAGCCCAUGCACACGGCAGUGGAUUUUUUGGGGGGGACGGAUAGUGAAUUGCAUAGAUGGGUGGUGAUUUUUUAUAUAUAAAAAAAAAUCUGGUGCCACAGAGAAGGGCGCAAAGAUGGAGGAGGGAUGCCUGCAAUUAAUGCUCCAUCCCUUUGCUCAAACCUCCUGGCUUUGCUGGGCAAAUAAACAGCCUCCUUUCAGGUGGAUCAGUCACCUGGCCUUUUUUUAUAUAUAAGGCAUUGAUUUUCCUAUCAAUCUUCUUUAAGGCCUCCUAGAUUCUUCUGGGUUGCUGCUUUCCAAAUUGUCAUUCACUUUCAGCUCCUGUGCAGGGAAAUGGAUGUGUGCAGUGGUUGCUCGGGCAACCGUAACCAUGGCAUCCAUUACCAGAAGCUUCCGUGCAGAAUUCACGCCCAUCCCUUCGUGUCUGCUGCCCCAGACUCUCUCCUCACCUGCCCUCCUCCUGCCAUCCCUCGAGUGAGGGCCUACUUUACCACCCAAGAUACAUAAAGUGGUUUGACGCCUGGCGAUAUUAUUCAGGGGGGCGUACAAUUCAUGGUUUUAUUCCUUUAUGUAUGCGUCAACUUGACUUACACCUUGUUCCGCUUCUUGCCUGUUACAGGGCUCACAGAGUGUAGCAGAAUGAAAACACUUCGGCUUUCUUACCACAUGAUGCUGGCGCGUCGAGGAGGGUGCAUAAAAAGGUCUGCAGUUUUUAAAAGGCUCCCGAGCCAGUUCACCAGGCUGGUAUCUUGGGUAGAUAUCACUGGACACUUGUUGAGGCUAUUGUCCUAGCAGGGGCCACUGACAAUGCCUGCUCCUUCGCCUCCUGCUCCUUGUUGUUACUGCCUGUUCACCUAGGGAUGCAGAAGCUGCCUUAGACCACAGGUAAACAAUGUUGGUGCCCUUGUGGCCUUUGACCACGGAUGACGGGAGAUGUCCACAACAUCUGGAUAGCACCACGUUGCCUACCCCUGCUUUAGAAUGAGUCUGUCUGUUCAUCCAUCUAAAGGUUAAAAAAAAGGUAAGGUAAAGGACCCCUGGAAGGCCAAGUCCAGUCAAAGGCGACUAUGGGGUUGAGGCGCUCAUCUCGCUUUCAGGCUGAGGGAUCCGGCGUUUGUCCACAGGCAGGUUUCCGGGUCAUGUGGCCAGCAGGACUAAACCGCUUCUGGCGCAACGGAACAUCGGGAUGGAAACCAAAGCGCACGGUAACAUCGUUUACCUUCCCACCAUAGCCUCCCCAGCUGUUGCCAUUGGCUGUGGGUUUCUUGUGAAGAAAUGCCAUAGUGACCCUUGUCUUCCCUCUCCCUCUCUCUGACAGGUGCUGCUGUUUUGAUCUAGGCGCAGUGAUUCUCAACCUGUGGGUCCCCAGAUGUUGUUGGACUACAACUCCCAUCAUUCCUAGCCAGUAUGAACAGUGGUCAGGGAUGAUGGGAGUUGUAGUCCAACAACAUCUGGGGACCCACAGAUUGAGAACCACUGAUCUAGGGGAACUGACGAUAGUGGUGAAGUGGAGAUGGUGGGGCACUCUGGGAAGGGUGUCCAUGGAGAGCUUCUAGCCCAAGCGCUUGCUCAAACCUGUAGCUGACAUUGUCCCGUCGUCUUCACAACCACAGUGUCUGCCAGAGCACAGAUCCAGUGGGGAGAAUCAUGUUGGGUGUGCAACUGUGCCUUGGAUUGGUUGUGAAUGUUCCUCCUCCACUACUCCAUGGCUUCUGUCUCUAAAAGACUUGGGAGAGGAACAGAAGGAAAGGAACUAGACUGUGUGAUGUGCAAAUGUCAUAUAGGGGUGACCAUGCAGUGUGUCAUAAACAUGACACCUGCACCAGGGAUUCCACUCUUGCCGGGCUGUGUGAAGUGGAUGUGUUAUAGCCGCCCGCUGGGAGGAGCAAAGAGAUAUUUCAUGCUAAUUUCAACAACAAGCCAGGAAAUGCUUAUUUGUCAUCUUCAAGGCAAAGAAAGUGAGGACACUGGCUUUGAAUUUCAAGAGUGCUCUUGAAUACGUCCAUCGAUGGGCUUAACAUACCCUUGGGAGCUUAGUGGAGAGACAAAGAGAUGGUGAUACAUGCUGUUGUCUGGAUGGGAAGCUGGCUGAGAGAAAGCAAAAUGAGGGGUCUGCUGGAUAGACAGAUGGGUUGGUCACUAUGGGAAGCAGGGAGGCUGAACCAGGAUUGUUCUUGCCAGUGCCUUUGGGGGGCGGGGGGAGGGGAUGCAGAGGUAUGCAUAGCCCUAAACAUUUUGUUAAUCUAACAGGAGAAGAAACUAAAAUUUUAGUUUCUUCUCUAGCACAGUGAAUCGUCAGUUCUGUUGCUACCCCCGGUAGCAGCCUCACUUCCUGUCACAAUGUUUCCUGAGUCUCAGAUGGAAGCGAGCGUUUAAUGUGUGAAGUAGGAGUUCGAAUCUAGCACAGUGAUUGGUCAGUUUUGUUGUUACCACCUCUGAUGGCAGCUUCAUUUCCUUUCGCGGUGAUUUUCUUGAGUCAAAAUGAGAGUACUCCUAAACAUUUUUUUUAAGGGAAAAAAGCACUGGUUCUUGCAUUCUUAGACUCAGAUGAAAAUGAUGGAGUAAAAAAAGAAAAAAAAGAUUAUGUUGAAGUUACUGCACUCUAGAUUCUCUUUACUGCAUUCCAGGUCCCCAUCUGUACUACACAUUUUAAGCAAUACUAUUCCACUUUAAGCAGUCAUGGCUUCCCCCAAAGAAAUCUGGGAGCUGUAAUUUGUUAUGGAUGCUGAAAAUUAUUCCCCUCAGGGAGCUGCAGUUGUCAGAGUGGUUUAUCCCCCUUUCCCAGGGAACUCUGGGAAUUAUAGCUUUGUGAGAAGAACAGGAGUCAACUCCCUGCACCUUUAAUAAACUCCAGCUCCCAGUAUUUUUUAAACAUGACUGUUUAAAGUGAUAUAAUAUUGCUUAAGUGUAUAGUGCAGAUGUGAGUCUAGAUUCUGAAGGACAGAAUGAGCUGGGAUCAUAGGAAGUAGCCUUAUACGGAGUCUGACUAUUGGUCCAUCUAACUUAGUAUCCUCUACACUGAUUGGCAGCAGCUGUCCAGAGUUUAAAGCAGAGAGUCUUUUCCAGCCCUAACUAAAGAUGCUGUUCAUUUGUGAUGAAUGAACUCCAGGUUGCCCAUGGAGAUGUCCCAUUUUGCUAGAAGAUCUCGCCUUCCUCCUCUCCGCAUGGGCUCCCUUUGCCCACAUCAAUCAGAAAGUGACAGCCAUGGGAUAACAGCCCCCCUGAUAGUAUCCAUUAAUUAAUAGCAUGGAAUAUAUGCUAAGGAAAGGUGACUGUGAACUAUAUUGUCGUGACUUUCUUUUAAUCGUCCCUUUAAACUGCCUGUACUGAGCCUCCAGUGACUUGGCCAAGGGAGAUGGGAGUUGGCUGGUGCUUUAUAAAUAAAAUCCGUGCUUAAUUAUGAUGACCUUUUCAGUGUUUCCUAAUAGGGCCAGCUCGGCCGCGGCUAAUACCACUUGCUUAUAGCAGCAGUAACCUCAAAGGAAGGAAGGAAGGAAGGAAGGAAGGAAGGAAGAAGGAGACUUCCUACAGGUCCAUUAUGCCGUGUUUUGUCCAUAAAGGGUAUUUUUGCCCUUUCUCUCACUUUACAGGGCAGGCUGAUGUGCAAAUGCCAGGAUAUUUGACAGAAAGGCUCAAGAUACACGUUGAUCUACCCACACGUAGUUGUUAUCCCUGAGAAACGUAGAAAAUAACAGGAUAUAUUUAUCUGAAAGUCUUCAAACUUACACAACCCUUUAAAAAUAAGCUGAUGAAGGUGAAUACAUCGAAACAGGGCCCUGUCCUGGUUUCUAGUCCACAACUGACUUCUGACUUCUCCUCUAUGAAGACCUCCACAUCGAAUCUGACUGUGGACUAAAUGAACUUAUCUCUACUAUUGAACUCUUAUCUCUAACUCUGUAAUGAAUGAUUGUGUUAUACGUAUCUUUAUGAGUUUGAGGAUGUAAUCUCUGUUAGAGUUUUUAAUCUCUAUUUGAGUUUGUAAUCCUUGUCAGAAUACAUACUUUUGAAGGGAUUAGUUUUUGUUACUAUUGACUAUUGAUUUGCGAGUAGGGAC
rnacentral:lncRNA from 1 species